rnacentral:rRNA from 1 species
CCGCACGCGCGCUACACUGAUGCAUUCAACGAGUGUUUCCUUGGCCGAGAGGCCUGGGCAAUCUUUUGAACGUGCAUCGUGAUCAGGGAUCGAUUAUUGCAAUUAUUAAUCUUGAACGAGGAAUUCCUCAGUAAACGCAGUUCAUCAAACUGCAUUGAUUACGU